AUUGAACGCUGGCGGCAGGCCUAACACAAGCAAGUCGAACGAGUGGCGGACGGGUGAGUAAUGUCUGGGAAACUGCCCGAUGGAGGGGGAUAACUACUGGAAACGGUAGCUAAUACCGCAUACCAUCGGAUGUGCCCAGAUGGGAUUAGCUAGUAGGUGGGGUAACGGCUCACCUAGGCGACGAUCCCUAGCUGGUCUGAGAGGAUGACCAACCACACUUGAAAUGCGACACUGUCCAGAAUCCUACGGGAGGCAGCAGUGGGGAAUAUUGCAAAAAUGGGAGUAGCCUUAUGCAGCCAUGACGCGUGUAUGAAGAAGGCCUUCGGGUUGUAAAGUACUUUCAGCGAGGAGGCGUUACUCGCAGAAGAAGCACCGGCUAACUCCGUGCCAGCAGCCGCGGUAAUAC
rnacentral:rRNA from 1 species